AUUGAACGCUGGCGGAAUGCUUUACACAUGCAAGUCGAGCGGCAGCACGGGGGCAACCCUGGUGGCGAGCGGCGAACGGGUGAGUAACACAUCGGAACAUGCCCAGUCGUGGGGGAUAACACUUCGAAAGAAGUGCUAAUACCGCAUACGUCCUGAGGGAGAAAGCGGGGGAUCGCAAGACCUCGCGCGAUUGGAGUGGCCGAUGUCAGAUUAGCUAGUUGGUGGGGUAAAGGCCUACCAAGGCAACGAUCUGUAGCUGGUCUGAGAGGAUGAUUAGCCACACUGGGACUGAGACACGGCCCAGACUCCUACGGGAGGCAGCAGUGGGGAAUUUUGGACAAUGGGGGCAACCCUGAUCCAGCCAUUCCGCGUGAGUGAAGAAGGCCUUCGGGUUGUAAAGCUCUUUCGGCAGGAACGAAACGGUGAGCUCUAACAUAGCUUGCUAAUGACGGUACCUGAAGAAGAAGCACCGGCUAACUACGUG
rnacentral:rRNA from 1 species